GGGGGUAUAGCUCAUUGGUAGAGUGUGUGCUUAGCGUGCAUGAGGUCCUUGGGUUCAAUUCUCAGUACCACCA
rnacentral:tRNA from 1 species